CUUGGGGUCACUGAGGUACUCGAGCCCCACCACCACGACAAGGUAGAAUUUGAAGUUCUCAUGGUGGUGAGUACAACAGAUCUGCUAGUUCAUCCCCUAAGCAUUUAUGGUUUCAAGAUUUCUCAUUGUUUUUAAUUAAUUGAUUUCAGUAAUAAUAGGUGUUGAAAACGUGGCGUGACGUGAAUAAAGAAGCAUUUAUUAUAAUCAGUCAGGGUGCAGAGGACAUUUGUUGGAGCAGGUUAAGUUUUGUUCCAAAUUUCUCUUAUUUUGAAUAAUUUUGGUGUAAAGAAUUGUUAUUAAGUGACAGUAACAUUAACACUUGAAUUAUAGUACGCCUACAGUGCAGAUCAAAAUAUUUAGAAAUAAUUGUAUUUAUAAGAUAUAAGUUAUGUUUGAGUUGCCAAGAAUCUCAGUUGUGAUAACUGAUAGCUUCCAGUAACUUUAUUUGUAGUUGCCACCUUAAAAUACCUAUUCUGCUGUGAUAAAGGUUAAAAUAAUAUAUUUGUUUUCUUUAAUAACGUAGGUUUGCCACUGCAAUAUCUGGGUAGCUCUAUUUGUUGCGGACCGAAGACUUUCUACUUCCGGAUUUUAUCUAAUGUGACCCAAAAAUAUUUUUUGAGAUAAUUUGAGUAUCCUAAAUAUUGUUUUAUUCAGUGCCCAUUGGUUGAUGUAGUUUAUGUAAGGAAGCUAUACGUAAACCAGUUUUAUUUUCAGAUUUAUAAGUAUAAUUCUUAUUGAGAUUGUCUGAAAAUUGAUGAAAGAGUUACAGUUUUGUAUGUCUAGUUGCAGUUAGAAUUGUAUAUGAGUAGAAAAAUGUAAAUAUACAGGAGAUGAGAUAUUCUGUUAUGUCAGUAAAAACUAAAUUUGAAUUGCAAGUUGUGAAUUGUAUAUAUGCGCGACAACUUGUAAAAAAAAUUUAUUGUUGAUAUUCUUUGAAUUGUGGCACUGAAUCUGGAUGUGUAAUGCAGUUAUUAUAAUUCAUCUUCGUUUUACCAGAGGUUAUUAUUUGGAGUAUCACAUGUCCUGUUAAAAAAUAUUCACAACCCAUAUAUCAUAGCCAGUUUUGAUAAAAAAAAGCUAUGAAUAUAUAACAAUAGUCAGAGUAUUUUAAUAACAUGGAUAAUAAUACUCAGAUUUUGAUAUUUGAAAUUAAUAUUAAAAGUCAAAACAUGUAUAUUGAAUCUGAGAUGUGUUUAUCUUAGAAACAAUUAACUUUAGUUCUGUUAUAGUUGUAUCAUUUUCCUGUAUUUUUAUGGCUUUAUUGAUUAUGCAUAUAUGUUUUUGCUCAAGCAUUGUUUUAGAAUCAUUUUGCUCUGGAACUGUGUUAUAUGAUUAUUAUUAUUGAAGUUGUGUAUUAUUUUUACAGUUUGAUUUAUUUUAAUAUGACCUAAAACAAGAGCAAUACAUUUCAAACUACCUUGUUACAUUUUAUUUUCUAUUGUAUUUUUUUUUUCUUAUCUGAACACUGCCAAUUUUGCUGUAGUAUUUUACUCUAUAGCAAAACUAUCCUCAGUAUUAAAAUGUUAAUCUCACCACUA